UGGCAGGGGCGACAUUGCGCGGGUCC
rnacentral:sRNA from 1 species